AGAUUGAACGCUGGCGGCAUGCCUUACACAUGCAAGUCGAACGGUAGAGUAGCAAUACUCGAGAGUGGCGGACGGGUGAGUAAUAUAUCGGAACGUGCCCAGUCGUGGGGGAUAACGUAGAGAAAUUUACGCUAAUACCGCAUACGAUCUACGGAUGAAAGCGGGGGAUCGCAAGACCUCGCGCGAUUGGAGCGGCUGAUAUCAGAUUAGGUUGUUGGUGAGGUAAAAGCUCACCAAGCCGACGAUCUGUAGCUGGUUUGAGAGAACGACCAGCCACACUGGGACUGACGACACGGCCCAGACCUCCGUA
rnacentral:rRNA from 1 species